rnacentral:misc_RNA from 1 species
GCGGAGGGACAUUACCGAGUUUACAACUCCCAAACCCAAUGUGAACGUUACCAAACUGUUGCCUCGGCGGGAUCUCUGCCCCGGGCGCGUCGCAGCCCCGGACCAAGGCGCCCGCCGGAGGACCAACCAAAACUCUUAUUGUAUACCCCCUCGCGGGUUUUUUACUAUCUGAGCCAUCUCGGCGCCCCUCGUGGGCGUUUCUAAAAUGAAUCAAAACUUUCAACAACGGAUCUCUUGGUUCUGGCAUCGAUGAACAACGCAGCGAAAUGCGAUAAGUAAUGUGAAUUGCAGAAUUCAGUGAAUCAUCGAAUCUUUGAACGCACAUUGCGCCCGCCAGUAUUCUGGCGGGCAUGCCUGUCCGAGCGUCAUUUCAACCCUCGAACCCCUCCGGGGGGUCGGCGUUGGGGAUCGGCCCUUCACGGGGCCGGCCCCGAAAUACAGUGGCGGUCUCGCCGCAGCCUCUCCUGCGCAGUAGUUUGCACACUCGCAUCG